CUUAACCACUCGGCCACGGGGCCGGCCCCACCAAACAUUUUAAACAACAUUUUGCAGUUGAUGUGAGAACAACCUUAAAAGUCAUAAGAGGCACAGGUGGGUAAAAGUGAUCCUGUUCCAGUCUGUAUGGAACCGCUGUGUGAUGGAGGAAGCAGACCUCAGUGACGUAACACCGAAAUCAGUAUAAAUCGCCGACCGUGGAAGUUAAAGGAUGUUAUGAAGAUGUACACAGAGAAAUUAACCUACCCUAGAGGUUCAGGGGAGUUGUCGCUAAAACCGUCCUUUGAGCCAGAAUCAGAAGAAUGAGUAAGGAGUUAACAUGGCAAAAGGGAAGGUGCCAGGAGAGAGAACAUUUGCAGCCGGUACAAAGGCCCUGAGGCCUGAGGGGGUAGCCACUGGGAAGAAGGUCUGUGUGGUUGGAGGGGCUUGAGUGAGGAGGGGACCCAAGUCAGAAGGGUGUCGCUUGGAUGGAGGCAGUGGGUGCUUGAUCUGAGUCAUUGACUGCAGGAGGCAGAGCAAUUGGGGUCAGACGACCGAGGUAGAAGGAAUUCCAGGUCAGUGCUGUGGGGACCAGGAUUUGUGGGGCCAGUAGAUUUGUGACCUCGGGCUCGUCACCCGAUUGCUCUACAUUUUGGUUUCUUAAUCUCUAGGAAACUGAUUGCAGUGGGAGGAGAGCUAGAAUUGGUUCCCGGCUCUCCUGCUGACUGACGGGGUGAUUAGGGAAACUAGUUAACUCCCCUGCUCCUCAGCUUUUUCAUCCAGAAAAUGACGAGGAUGAUUCCUACCCUGUCUGCUUUGCAGUGUAGUUGUGAAGAGAAAAUUAGAUAAUAAAUGGGAAAGCACUUUAAAAAAUCGGGAAGCAUGAUACAAUGAAGGUAAUGACACAAUAUGAAUAAUGAUAUUGAUGGCUAGAGGUUCGUCAGCAGAAAUGUGGAUACUCCUGAGGAUGAAGUCAGGCACAGGGAAGAAGAUCAAUACUAAGCCGAGAGCUGAUUUUUCCAAACUGUUAUGGAAAUGAGUUAGUUCUUUAUUCCACGUUAACCAAUUGAAGCCAGUUUUGUGAUUAGACUGGAAGUUGUCUUAUCCGCUUGGUUGAAGCCAAAUGGAUCUGAGUUUGAAUCUCAGCUCCUCCACUUAGCAGCUGUAUUGGUUUUCUAUUGCAGCAUAACAAAUGUCCAUGCAUUUAGCAGAUUAAAACAAUACUCAUUUAUUAUCUCACAAUUUCCUUAGGUCAGAAAUCAGCAUCACUCAACUGGGUUCUCCACUGAGGGCCUCACACGCAAGGUGUUGGCCAGCUGUGCUCUCAUCUGAGGUUCUGGGAAAGAAUCCACUUCAAGCUCAUUCAGAUGGUUGGCAGAAUUCUGUUUCUUGUGGUUGUAGGACUGAGGUCCUGGUUUCCUUGCUGGCUGUCAGCCAAGGGUCAUCCUCAGCUUCUAGAGGCAUCUCUUUAGUCCUUGCUUGUGGCCGGCUCCAUCCUCCAUCUUUGAGCCAGCAGUGGUACAUCAGGCGUUUUCCUGCUUUGAAUCUCUCCAUCUUCUUCUUCCGGUAAUGGGCAGAGAAAGCAAUUGGCCCUUAAGGAUUUAUGUGACUAAAUCAAAUCUGUGGAUAAUCUCCUUAUUUUAAUGUCAACUGAGCCACAGGAUAUAACAUAAUCAGGCGAGUGGUAUCUCAUUAUAUUCACAGGUUCUCGGAAUCAGGGCAUGGAAUUUUAGGAGCCAUUUUCAGAAUUCUGCCUACCACAAUUUCUUAAGGUGACCCUGACGACUUUGUUACUUAACCUCUAUCGGUCUUAGUUUCUUCAUGCAUACAAUAGAGUAAAUUCAUACCUUGAAGCAUCAUUGCAUUGAUAACUAAAAUAAGAUAGACAUUGUGCCUACAACAUAGCAGAUAUGCAACAAAUGUGAAUGCCCUUUGCCUGACAUCUCACAGCCUCUAUUGUACAUUGAAAGCCUGGCUAGCUCCUAAUGCCAGAGAAAAUUUUCUGCAGAAAGAGGAUUGGGUCAUCUGCCUUACAAGUUUGGAUGUUCUUUUAGAGUUUUAUGCUACUGUAUUGCAUAAGCAAGUUUUGAUUUCUCCUAAGUAGUUGGAGACUGAUAUUUGCUGCGUGUAGGCAUAAAUUAAGAACUUGGACCAGAGAAGAACCUCUCAGAAUUCCACCUCGGGGUGUCUGUGUCUGAUCUUUAAAAAAAACAAGAAUGUAUGUCUCGGCAGUAGCAGUAACUUCUUGGUAGUGGUGGUGGGUAAGACAAAAACAGGAAUUUAUAUAUAAUUGCUGGAGUUUAGUUUGUCCUGCAAAUUUUAUGGGUAAAUUCCUUCAAAGCCUACCUGCUUUUAAGACUGCAGAACUUGGUGAAAGAAAGCGUGUUUUCCCUACUUUAGUUGUGAAGACAUCAUAAUGCUUGCACUGUGAUGUUUCAUGCAUUCCCUCCAUGCAACAGUAAGUUUUUAUAGAGCCCCCUUCUUUACUAAUAUGAAUUUCAACAAAAGAGCCAACAGCCCUUAAAUCCAUCAACUGGUCAUAAAUCUAAGCAGCUGCAUUAUGAGUCAGAGAUCAGCGCAGUGAAUGGGCUACUGUGUUUCCACCCGGGAGAUGGAGCACACCCUCUCUGAAAUGGUCAUUCUCCCUUCAAUCAGUAACGUUCAGGUUAAGGGGAAGUCAGAACGGCAGCUCUUCACGAGUCUUCAAAGGCAAGGUGGGCCUAAGCCAUUGAUAAUGACUAAUGACAUAGUCUCAGAGGAGGACAGAAAAAAGAAAUGUGAUGUACGCUAGUUCAACCACAUGAGCCAGAAAUCUUCCAAUCCACAAAUGUUCUUUACCCACUCAGGUAUUGUGGUAGCUCAUGGUUGCCUGUCUGAAUAUUCAUUCUUACUGUGUAACGCUGAGGAAGAUCGUCCCGAGGGCAGACUGAACCGAUGCUCAGGGCUCAUCAUAGAAGUCACUUUGAAAAAUUGCCUGUGUCUCUGAUGGGUUAGUUUCUUUUAGUUUACUGCUUUCUCCAUAAAUGGAACACAGACAAUUAAUCCACUAUGAAACCAAGGUCUAUUUAGUAUCUGGAUGACUGACAUGUGCUCCAACACCCCACUGUCUAGCACUGUUUAAUACUUUUUAAAAAGGACAAAAAUAUAUACUAUGUACUAUAGAGUGUAUGAAAGAACAUGGGAGGUGGAAAAGAAAAUUUAAUAACAACCACUGUUUAUUCAGAUAUUUCUGUAUUGCUACGUAUUGCUAAGUGUUUGCCUGGAUUAUUUCAUUUAGUACAACAGAGAAGCUUAUGAAAGAAAUGUCACAUCGUGGUUGCCCUCACCUCCAAUUUACUGAUAAAGAAAUGGAGGACCAGAAAGGUUGGGAAUUCCCAGGGCCACCCAGCGAGAAGGUGCUGGGGGGCUCAGAUUUGAGUGCAGUUCUAUGUGACUCUGAUUCCGUAAUGCUGGUGAUGGAUGUGCUGUGAAGCGAUGUGUAACAUAAUGGCAUGUAAUAACCUCCUGGUAGAAGGGAAGCUGCACUUUCAAGGCAGGCUGAACUCCCUGAAAGGCCUUUUCUUCAGAAGAGGAAACCACACCAGACGGAGAAGUGACGUUAUACGGAGACCCUUUGGUUGGGCUUGGUCUAGACCCAGCUUCUGAUGGGGUGUGGCCUGGGGCCUGCCAGCCUCUGGGGGGUGCGUGGAGAGGCCAUAAUCCUUGUCAUCGCUGGCUGUAGCUGCUGGAGAGCGGCUGUCAGGCAGCCACUUGGGGUAAGCUGCUGAGAACAGGGGGCUCAUUCUUCUACUCAGCCAGACAUGAGGUGGGAUGGGUGGGAGGCUGGGGCGGAGGACAAGAGUGGUGUUCUGCCCGGGAAGGAGCUGUGUAGACCAAGGGUGAAGAUGAUGUUCUAUGAGGCACUGCCACGCUGCCCCUCCUUGGCUUUCUGAGAAUGACAGUAUUGGUUUAAGUGGGCAAAUGCUGUUAUUUACACAGAGUUCUACCAUGUAUGCCUUCUGAGAUGCUCCAGAGGCACCCACUGGGUGUGCUUGUCACUCUGAGGCGUGAUAAAGGAAACACCAAGCCCAUUGCCUUCACUCAUCCAGUUUAGAGUACGCUGGAGAUAACUAUUUUAACAUAAAUCUUGAACGGUUUAAUGUGAAGCUUUAAAAUUAAGCAAAAGUUACAGUGGAGUAUAGUGGAAAUAUUGUCAUUUACAAGACUGGCAUAACAGAAAGUGUUAUUUCAGAAUAGCAUAAUCCUCUCUCUUUUAAAAUGGAUUUUCCUGAUGCUGCUGCAUCAGAUUGGACCUCAGAUUCCAGAAUCCGCAGCGCUGUCUCACCACUCACUCCCAUGCAAGAGGGCAGCUGUAGGAGUCAAAGGACCUUCUGACAUCCAGAGCCAAUGCUGCCUUUGGCCAGCCAUUGGAACACCGUCAUCAGACAUGGUCCAUGUACUGAUGAGGAACCGUGCUUGGUGCUAAGCAGAGAUGCAUCGCUUCAAGGACAAGAGAGACAGCUGGGAAAAUUGCUCUAGAGGAUUAUAAAGUCACAUCAGAAAUAGAAUCUCUGAGAAAGGGUGGAAGGUAAAAUCAUUUUCCCUUCGUAUAGCAAAUCUCAGCAUCUAAGACCCCCAGAUUUCAAUGGAAAUCCUUUAAAAGAGAUGAUAGAAGAAAAACAUCAGGCACACCUGUUGCAUCAAUAUCACUGAGCUAUGGUAAUAUCCGUGCAGUGACCUCCAGAUGGCCUCGUGACUGAUGGUAGAGAAGCACCUGAAACCCAUUAGAGGAUUUUAUCAUCUUCAUAAAACCUGACCCCAAAGCAAUUUGUCAUUUGCCUUUACAAUGAAAGCAGGAGAAAUUUUUGUAAUAUCUGACAAUAACCAACAUGGACCACGUGGGAAUAAAGAGGAAGACAAGUUGCAGCGGGGGAUGACGUGCCCUUAGCCUGCCCUCUCAUGAAAUUCUCACAGGUUAAAUGAGCUGUGUCACUGUUGGAAGGCAGAAUAAGAAUCAGCAGUUAACGCAUCCAGAGCGAGAGCUGAUCUUCGGCGACAGGUGACAUGAAAAUGCAUUCUGACUUUUUAAGUUUUAUGCUAUGGGAACUAAGACUUUUAGGAGUCACAGGAAGUACAAAAGAACUCGAGAGUGCUCAAGAGAUGCGCUUUAUCAUCCAAGGGAGGAGUUUUCCUUAUUUUAAAUUUAUUAAUAAUUCACCUAAACGUUUCCAGUCUAGGAGUUAUCUAACCAGUCUGUUUGUCUUUCUUGAUGGGAGCCUCUAUCUGUAAGGCUUUUGAACCCUGUGUCUCCUGGUGUGAGAAGAGAAUUUUGAGUUAAAAGACAGCAAGAGAACUUGCCCAAUAUCACCAUCAAACUAGAGACCUAAGCAAGCUGUGGAGACGAACUCCCGUGCCUGUGAGCUGAGACAGGUUUUUCUUAUUGAAAACGUGGGUGCAGGUGUUGGGGGACCCUCACCUUCAGCCCUCCAGUAGUUGGUUGAGAGAGGGUGAACCACUUCUCUAUGAGCAGAUGGAUGACAGCCCUGGCCAUCUUGGGUUUCUCCCUCUGCUUAUACCUAUUUGAUGUGCUAACGAUUGUGUGGGGUUGGGAGUCUAGCAGAGAUUUCCAGAAAGGGGUAAAAAAUCCCAGAAGGGAAAUACAGAACCAACUUUGUCCUUCCACAUCUUCCUGUGCAUGGAAGGAAAAUCCGAGAUUAAGUGGGCAAAUACUUUUAUUUAUAGAGUAUGAAAAGCUUCAUAUGUCCACUGCAGCAUGCACUCAGUGUUCUGUUCAUUUUCUGUUUUCAGGCUUUUCAAAAACUAAUUUCCAAACCACAUAAGCAACACAUUUAGGUAUAUAAACAAAGCAUGAGUAUAAAUUUUCUAAGUAUGCAAAUACAUAGGAAAAGUUUCUGGAAAUCUCUACAGUAGAAUGAUAAUAAUGGCUAACUCGGUAGAAGGGAUGAGAGAGGACGGAUGGAGGAGCCAGGCUGGAGCAGGGGUUGGUCAAAGGGGACUUUUGCCUUAUUUGUAACAUUUUAAUAUUUUACAUGGAGAAGACUUUUUACUCAUUUGCCUUAUUUCUAGAAACCUCUGCAGGCUUGCCAAUUAUUCCUACACCUCAGCAUUCCCCACUUGGGAGUCCAGUUGAAAAAUUCAGAUUUGGGGAGUUGAGUAUAUGCUUUUUGACCAAAGGAUUAUGUUAUUAAUCAAAGAAAGCAGCCUACUGGAGUUCGAUAGAAUCAGAUUGGUAACACUCGCCAUAGAGUCUUUCCACAAAUAGAUAACAAUCCACUCUCUUCCUCCUCCUUGGAGAAUGCCGUUCCAAGGCCUGAUUUCUGGUCCUAAAUAGAAAGCCAUUGUUGCAGGCUCCACUCAGUCUAGUUGCAAGGACAGAUAGGAGGCCUGGAAAGUCCCUCCAUCCACUUAACACAGAACAACUGAUUCUCGGAACCAGAUGGGAAACGGAGGUGGGGCAACACGGAAGCCAGCCAGCUCCCUUCACCUUGGCCUCCCUGCUUCCCAACCAGCUCCUCACUGCUGGAGGCGCCAUGUCCUCCCAGCCUGGCCCAAACCCUGCCCUCCCUCUGGCUCCUACUGCUCUUUUCUAUGCACCUCGUGCUCUAGCCAAAGGAAACCACCUCCUGUUUCCUGAAUGUUCCCAUGCUUUCCCGGAGCAUGCCUUGUUCACGCCUAUUCUUCUGCCCACUGAAAUCCUACUUGUCCUUCAAAGCACAUCUCCAGCGCCAGAGUCUUUCUGAAUCUGCCCAACCAGACGUCAUUUCCUCCUCCUCCGACCCCUGUCCUCAUCCGAAGCUUCUCCACGUCUAGUUAGAAAUGCACGUGUCUCGUUCUCCCUGAGUGAGUGUGAGCCCCGUGAAGGCAGGGGGGUGUUUGAGCUCACAUUCCAUUCCUCUGUCCUUCCCAUAUGCGAGGCCUCAUUCUAGGAUCUGGAGAAAUAAAAAUGGACAAGGAAUUGCCCCAUUCUCCUGGAGCUCAUACUUUGGAGAUUUCGGUAAUUACAAUGCUGUUGGGUUAGGACAAUGUACCCCCAGCUCUCAAAUUCACAGACUCUGUUCACUGGAGGCCCUCUAGGAACACAGGAGCCUGACCUCUUCUUUGCAAACUCUGAAACUUCUCGAAACUGAGAAGAAGACUCAUUCUGCACAGGGUCAAUGGACCCGGGUAGGAUGCCGGAGGGGAGCCCACCUUUCCAGUGGAGAGGGAAGAGAGCAACGUAAAAUGACGCAGAGAUGAGCAAUUCAGUCAUGGAAGCAGAAUCAGUAACUUACCCAUGUGAUCACUGGGGAGACCAAGAAGCAUGCAAGUCUCUCUGCUCCCUGGUGUGUGUGUAUGCAUGUACGUGUGUGUGUAUGCAUGCACGCGUGUGCGUGUACACGUGUGUAUGUGUGUGUGUCUGAAGAGAAACAGCUGUUGGAAACCCAUGGUACUUCAAGUCCUCACAUCGCCUUCCUUCCUGGAUGGGUUGGGGGGCCCAGCUCUGGCCACAGGACUGCUGGGUCCUGUGGGCCCUUCCCACCAGUGGCUUUAAGGCCUGGCCCCCAUUUCAGGGUAGAUGGAAGAUGGAGACUCCAGCCUCCACCUAGCUCCUUGCUGUGGGCACUCUUAAAAACAUAUUUGGCCUUUAGGAGAAUAAAAGAGAAAUGAGAUGGAGCUAGGCUGUGCCCCGGGGAGCUGGCAGGUGAGGGUAGAGAUGAGAAGGAUGUAGUUCUGGCGGUGUCAGUGUCCCAGAGGAGAAAACUGCCACUGGCCUUGUGUAAAGUACCUUGCACGGUAGUCAGGCAUCUGGCUGAGAGUGGACUCUGGAGUCUGAGUGCCUGGGUUCAAAUCCUGGUUCUGUCACCUACUGGCUGGCAGCCCUGUGACAGUUAAUUUAAUGACUCUAGGCUCCAGUUUCUGCAUCUGUGAAAUGGGGACAGUCCAUCCUCAUAAAGUUGCUGUAAAGGCUUAAAUGAAAGUGCUUAGAGCAGCACUUGGCACAGAGUGAGUAAUCCAUAAAUAGUAGCUGUUCUGAUUAGAAUGGGAUGCAAUGAAUCCUAGAUCGCAUCUUCUCCUUCUCAUUAAUCUUGUAUGACCAGACCAAAUUCAGCCAUUGACAAGGAUAGCAUUAAGCACAGUCCACCUGACUAGGGAGUGCUUUUUCCUCCUUUGGACUAAUUCCAAACCUCCCCCACCUCCCCUCAGGCGUCCAGGACCCCCUGUAGUCUCCUUGGCUGGUUAGGUAAGGUACUCCUUCUGGGUACCCAUCCAAGGAUGCCCACACCAGACAGAACUCUAAUUCUGGAGCUAGCGCAACAGCAUUUAUCUACCCCCUUAGAACUUUAUAAACUUAGAGGACAAAAGCAGUGUCUAAUUGCUUCCUUUCUUUUUUUUUUUUUUUCCUUUCACAAAUAUUUUU